rnacentral:rRNA from 1 species
CCUACGGGAGGCAGCAGUGAGGAAUAUUUGUCAAUGGGCGGGAGCCUGAACCAGCCAAGCCGCGUGAGGGAAGAAGGUACAACGUAUCGUAAACCUCUUUUGUCAGGGAACAAAGGCGGGGACUAGUCCCCGUAUGAGGGUACCUGAAGAAAAAGCAUCGGCUAACUCCGUGCCAGCAGCCGCGGUAAUACGGAGGAUGCGAGCGUUAUCCGGAUUUAGUGGGUUUAAAGGGUGCGCAGGCGGCCUGUUAAGUCAGCGGUAAAAGCCCGGGGCUCAACCCCGGCGAGCCGUUGAAACUGGCGGGCUGGAGUGGGAGAGAAGUACGCGGAAUGCGCGGUGUAGCGGUGAAAUGCUUAGAUAUCGCGCAGAACCCCGAUUGCGAAGGCAGCGUACCGGCUCCAAACUGACGCUGAGGCACGAAAGCGUGGGUAUCGAACAGGAUUAGAUACCCCAGUAGUC